rnacentral:rRNA from 1 species
AGAGAUUGCUUUGGUGCCUUCGGGAACUCUGAGACAGGUGCUGCAUGGCUGUCGUCAGCUCGUGUUGUGAAAUGUUGGGUUAAGUCCCGCAACGAGCGCAACCCUUAUCCUUUGUUGCCAGCGGCUCGGCCGGGAACUCAAAGGAGACUGCCGGUGAUAAACCGGAGGAAGGUGGGGAUGACGUCAAGUCAUCAUGGCCCUUACGGCCAGGGCUACACACGUGCUACAAUGGCGCAUACAAAGAGAAGCGACCUCGCGAGAGCAAGCGGACCUCAUAAAGUGCGUCGUAGUCCGGAUUGGAGUCUGCAACUCGACUCCAUGAAGUCGGAAUCGCUAGUAAUCGUAGAUCAGAAUGCUACGGUGAAUACGUUCCCGGGCCUUGUACACACCGCCCGUCACACCAUGGGAGUGGGUUGCAAAAGAAGUAGGUAGCUUAACCUUCGGGAGGGCGCUUACCACUUUGUGAUUCAUGACUGGGGUGAAGUCGUAACAAGGUAAGCGUAGCGAG